rnacentral:rRNA from 1 species
UUAAAACGACUCUCGGCAACGGAUAUCUCGGCUCUCGCAUCGAUGAAGAACGUAGCGAAAUGCGAUACUUGGUGUGAAUUGCAGGAUCCCGUGAAUCAUCGAGUUUUUGAACGCAAGUUGCGCCCGAGGCCAUUAGGCCGAGGGCACGCCUGCCUGGGCGUCACGCAUCGCGUC